UUGUAGUGAACCUGUAGAAGUUGGCAUGUGUGUCCUCUUGCAAGGCUGUGUCAGAUUUAUCACGCCGCAUUCCUAUGGAAGUCCAAUGGAAUUCCGAUGGCAUUCCGAUGGUUUACCUGGAUUUCAUCCCCAAACUCAAAAGAGUGCUCACCCUGGAAUAAUACAAUAUCCUGAAAGGAACAACUGAUCCCAAACACAUACACAAGCGCACACACGCAGUGGGAUUCUGUUGGUAGAAAUGUGGAGGAGUGAGUAAGUAAAGAAGAAGAGAGAGGAGGGGUAGAGCAGAAGAGAGAGGCGGGGUAGAGAGGAAGAGAGGAAGUGUAGAGGAAGAGGGAGGAAGGGUAAAGAAGAGAGGUAAAGAGAGGAGGUAAACAGAAGAGGUAGAGAGAGAUGAGGUGGAAAGAGGAGAAAUGUAGAGAGGCGAGGUAGAAAAAGGGUAUUAUGGGGUGAGGAGCAGAGGAGGGGUAGAUACAUUAAAGGUAGGGAGGAGGAGGGUAUUGGAGUGUGACUCUGUUAGGAGCGUUGUUGAUCUAUAUCAAAUUCAGGGGAAGCGUCACUCUGACGCCUCUUUCACACGACCUACACAGGCACCUUCAACCAUCCACAUACACUGCCUUACCACAGCCUCCCAAGCCUGCCAGUCUGCUCUGAUGCCAACACACACAUACACAAGCAAGCACAUACAGAUGUAGGAUCUUAAUUUGAGCGAGUUUGCUAUAGCAGGAAAAUAAUCCUGCAGCAACAGGAAAUGUAAAUUAUUAUGUGGAUUAUAUAUCAUGGAGAUUUUUGUAGAGGUUUAUACAUUUUGAAACUUCAAAUACACUACAAGUUUGCAUUUCCUGCUUUGCAAUCUGUAGGUAUACAUACACAGCAUGUCAUUCAGCACAACACACACUCAGUCCAUCAAUCCUAAAAAUAACUUACUGGGUUGACUGUGCCUAAAAUAACUUUCUAACUGAGCCUCUGUCUCUCUCUCUCUCAUGCAUGCACGCACAUAGACACAGAGUUGCUCCCUCUCCACACCUGCCCCGCAAACAGAGCGAGAUGUGUCGCCAUCACAAACAGCGCAGCACCAGCCGGCAGGAAAUAGAUUCCUUUUUUGAGGUCCUUAGUAGCGUGGAUGAGGACGGCAGUGAAAAUUAUGUUAAAGACCACCGGGCCCAAGAUACAUCCUUGCUUGAUACUGUUGGAGAUGGGAAGGCUUCAGAGAUGCCACCACCACAGCGGAUCUGGCCUUGCAUUCAAUGGAGCUGAGUAUUAAACAGAGCGGUUUCUGUUUUCUUCCUAGAAUUGUGACUCUAACUUUUUAAUGGUUUAAGCUACAAAAUAUUUUGACCCCAUAUGUGUCUUCUGUUUCCCUCAGAACCCCUUAGAACAGAGUGGACAGGACCAGGCAGUAAAUCAGACUGGUUUAAGAAGAACAUUAUCAAUGAUGAUGUUCUUUUCUACACAGAAGAUCAUUCACAAUUUUUGCCUAAUGUUUUCCUGAACUUCCUUUCUGAUGCAUUUUAAGCCAUACUUCCUUCAGAUUGAAAUAUUAUUACAAAUCAGUCUGAAACUUUUUUUGACAUAGAGGGGUUAUUUCGUAAGCCAAACCGUUUGGACACUACAGAGUUAUCCGCUGUAUCUCAGCCACCUUCCACCACAGAUGCGGAAGGCCGCAGUUGGCAGAUGUGGAGACGCAGCCCAUGCAAAAUAACAGAAAUCUCUGGCUUAGACAGAUGGAUUUCGAUGAGGAAUUUCUUUAUUAUGCUAAUUUGAUUUCCGUGGGGGCACGGACAUGAACUCUAGGGGUUAAUUAAUGCAGGGAAACUGAAAUCUGUUUUACAUCAUUUCUACCAGCAUGUCACCUGUGUAACUAUAAAACUCUAAAUCACCUUUACUCCACACACAGAAAUGCAUACAAAGCUCCCCCUCGCCCUCCACUUGGCAAAUCUGACCAUAACUCUAUCCCCCUGAUUCCUGCUUUCAAGCAAAAACUCAAACAGGAAGUACCAGUGACACGCUCAAUACGGAAGUGGUCAGAUGAAGCGGAUGCUAAGCUACAGGACUGUUUCAAUAGCACAGAAUGGAAUAUGUUCCGGGAUUCAUCCGAUGGCAUUGAGGAGUUUACCACAGCAGUCACCGGCUUCAUUAAUAAGUGCAUCGACGGUGUUGUCCCCACAGUGACCAUGCAUACAUUUCUCAACCAGAAGCCAUAGAUUACAGC
rnacentral:lncRNA from 8 species